UCCCUCCCCAAGCUGCGUGUGUGGUCAAAGAGGGUGACCUUCCCGGAGAGAAGAGGACCAUUUUUCCGCCAAGGGUAUAUGAGUAGCUGCGCUCCCCUCUGGAACCUCCAAACAAGCUCUCAAAAUAACAAGUAAAUAAAUAGGGAAGGAAGG
rnacentral:sRNA from 1 species